rnacentral:lncRNA from 1 species
GGGAAAUAAGCGAGUAAGAUGUAAACAACUACUUUAAGAUGUAAGAUUUUUUAAAAAGGGUUUUCUCAAAAACUGAAAGCAAAAUAAUUUUAGAGUGUAAAGUGUAUUGAAAUUGCAAUAGUAUAAAGUGUUAUUAGUGCAAUAUGUUCUUAGUGUCUGACUUAUGUUGGAUUAUCUCUAUCCUCAAGGGAGAGUCUGGCUAAUAUUAUCAUCAAGGAGUUUAUAAAACCAUAUUGAGGGUCAACAAUGAUUCAGUAUAAGAACCAAUAAGAAGCUGGUUCUUACAGAAGGAUAAGAGCACAGUGAUUAAGCAUACAGGCUCUCUAGAGCCAGAUAGGCCCAAGGUCAACUCCUCUCUCAGCCACCUUGAUAUUUACUUCUGAAAGUUACCUAAGGUCUUACAAUUUCCAUUUCCAUGUCUGUAAAAUGAGGACAAAAAAUGGUCCCUACUUCCUAGGGUUGCUGCGAGGAAAUUCAGGAACACUUAAAAAAUGCUUAGGAGUUUGUCUAAACUGUAGGUAAGUGCUCAAUAAAUGGGUUGCUUGUUAAGCUCAUGGUCACAAAUUCCACUCUUAUCAUUGCAAUCUCCGACCUCCUACUCUUUUGCCACCAUAAGGUGAAGAAAAGAAUACAAAGCAAGCAAAUGCCUCUCUCAUAAUUUUUCCUUUUAAAACAAGUUUACUAAAUAUUGAAAAUGCUGUCUCGAGUGUGACUUCCAUAAACUCAACUUGGCACAAUAAAGUUGACAUCACACUGGAUGAAGAAAUUCCAAUUGGGAAAAUGAUUGGAGUGCCAGGCAACAGAUGAAGAUAACCUGGGGGAUUUAACCUUUGAACUAGAUCCACAGAAUGAUUACUUUGCAGUUGACAAAGCAUUCUACAAAGUUGGAAGAGUGAUUGCCAUUGAUGAAGACCACCCACCAAACUGUGUGACAUACAAAAUAGCCAAUGGAGACACCCAGGUUAUACAAAGAUUCUGGAUUCAUCCUCUCUCUGGAAUGAUCGAACUUACCACACAGCCAGACUAUGAGUCUGUGAAGCAAUAUAACCUCACCGUGGAAGCUGUGGACUGUGACAGAUUUCACUCUCAUACAGCAAUGACUAUGGU